UACGUAGGUGGCAAGCGUUUGUCCGGAAUUACGUGGCGUAAAGAGCUCGUAGGUGGUUUGUCGCGUUGUUCGUGAAAACUCACAGCUUAACUGUGGGCGUGCGGGCGAUACGGGCAGACUGGAGUACUGCAGGGGAGACUGGAAUUCCUGGUGUAGCGGUGGAAUGCGCAGAUAUCAGGAGGAACACCGGUGGCGAAGGCGGGUCUCUGGGCAGUAACUGACGCUGGAGGAGCGAAAGCGUGGGGAGCGAACAGG
rnacentral:rRNA from 1 species